CGGGGCUACACAGGAUCAAUGGCAGGAUAAAGAGAAUAGAGGUAACCUGGAGAAAUGUGAACCUCUGGAGUAGCAGCUCUCUGAGUCAACAAAACAGGGUUCUGUGGAUGUUUCGUGCCUCUGUUGCAAAGAUGGUUUGGCAAGGAAAUAUAUACAUUAAGAAUCAAAGGACUGAAGGAGUGCCCACUUCACCAUUUGCCAACUGUGAGUUCAAUGACUUCAUCUGUAAACACAGAUUUUAAUAGUACAAGCUUCAUAGAAUUAAUGUGAGGAUCAAUUGAGAUAAUUCAUGUAACAAUCAGUAUAUUGCCUAGCAUUUAUCAGGCAUCCAAUAAUUG
rnacentral:lncRNA from 1 species